CGACAGGCUUAACACAUGCAAGUCGAGGGGCAGCACAGGUAGCAAUACCGGGUGGCGACCGGCGCACGGGUGAGUAACGCGUAUGCAACUUACCUAUCAGAGGGGGAUAACCCGGCGAAAGUCGGACUAAUACCGCAUGAAGCAGGGGUCCCGCAUGGGGAUAUUUGCUAAAGAUUCAUCGCUGAUAGAUAGGCAUGCGUUCCAUUAGGCAGUUGGCGGGGUAACGGCCCACCAAACCGACGAUGGAUAGGGGUUCUGAGAGGAAGGUCCCCCACAUUGGUACUGAGACACGGACCAAACUCCUACGGGAGGCAGCAGUGAGGAAUAUUGGUCAAUGGGCGUAAGCCUGAACCAGCCAAGUCGCGUGAGGGAUGAAGGUUCUAUGGAUCGUAAACCUCUUUUAUAAGGGAAUAAAGUGCGGGACGUGUCCCGUUUUGUAUGUACCUUAUGAAUAAGGAUCGGCUAACUCCGUGCCAGCAGCCGCGGUAAUACGGAGGAUUCGAGCGUUAUCCGGAUUUAUUGGGUUUAAAGGGUGCGUAGGCGGCCUUUUAAGUCAGCGGUGAAAGUCUGUGGCUCAACCAUAGAAUUGCCGUUGAAACUGGGGGGCUUGAGUAUGUUUGAGGCAGGCGGAAUGCGUGGUGUAGCGGUGAAAUGCUUAGAUAUCACGCAGAACCCCGAUUGCGAAGGCAGCCUGCCAAGCCAUGACUGACGCUGAUGCACGAAAGCGUGGGGAUCAAACAGGAUUAGAUACCCUGGUAGUCCACGCAGUAAACGAUGAUCACUAGCUGUUUGCGAUACAGUGUAAGCGGCACAGCGAAAGCGUUAAGUGAUCCACCUGGGGAGUACGCCGGCAACGGUGAAACUCAAAGGAAUUGACGGGGGCCCGCACAAGCGGAGGAACAUGUGGUUUAAUUCGAUGAUACGCGAGGAACCUUACCCGGGUUUGAACGCAUUCGGACCGAGGUGGAAACACCUUUUCUAGCAAUAGCCGUUUGCGAGGUGCUGCAUGGUUGUCGUCAGCUCGUGCCGUGAGGUGUCGGCUUAAGUGCCAUAACGAGCGCAACCCUUGCCACUAGUUACUAACAGGUGAUGCUGAGGACUCUGGUGGGACUGCCAGCGUAAGCUGCGAGGAAGGCGGGGAUGACGUCAAAUCAGCACGGCCCUUACAUCCGGGGCGACACACGUGUUACAAUGGCGUGGACAAAGGGAAGCCACCUGGCGACAGGGAGCGAAUCCCCAAACCACGUCUCAGUUCGGAUCGGAGUCUGCAACCCGACUCCGUGAAGCUGGAUUCGCUAGUAAUCGCGCAUCAGCCAUGGCGCGGUGAAUACGUUCCCGGGCCUUGUACACACCGCCCGUCAAGCCAUGGGAGCCGGGGGUACCUGAAGUCCGUAACCGCGAGGAUCGGCCUAGGGUAAAACUGGUGACUGGGGCU
rnacentral:rRNA from 1 species